GACGAACGCUGGCGGCGUGCCUAAUACAUGCAAGUAGAACGCUGAAGGAGGAGCUUGCUUCUCUGGAUGAGUUGCGAACGGGUGAGUAACGCGUAGGUAACCUGCCUGGUAGCGGGGGAUAACUAUUGGAAACGAUAGCUAAUACCGCAUAAUAGUAGAUGUUGCAUGACAUUUGCUUAAAAGGUGCAAUUGCAUCACUACCAGAUGGACCUGCGUUGUAUUAGCUAGUUGGUGGGGUAAAGGCUCACCAAGGCGACGAUACAUAGCCGACCUGAGAGGGUGAUCGGCCACACUGGGACUGAGACACGGCCCAGACUCCUACGGGAGGCAGCAGUAGGGAAUCUUCGGCAAUGGACGGAAGUCUGACCGAGCAACGCCGCGUGAGUGAAGAAGGUUUUCGGAUCGUAAAGCUCUGUUGUAAGAGAAGAACGAGUGUGAGAGUGGAAAGUUCACACUGUGACGGUAUCUUACCAGAAAGGGACGGCUAACUACGUG
rnacentral:rRNA from 1 species